rnacentral:rRNA from 1 species
CAGUCGCCGCGGGAAAACGAAGGGUGCAAGCGUUAAUCGGAAUUAUUGGGCGUAAAGGGCUCGCAGGCGGUUUCUUAAGUCUGAUGUGAAAGCCCCCGGCUCAACCGGGGAGGGUCAUUGGAAACUGGGAAACUUGAGUGCAGAAGAGGAGAGUGGAAUUCCACGUGUAGCGGUGAAAUGCGUAGAGAUGUGGAGGAACACCAGUGGCGAAGGCGACUCUCUGGUCUGUAACUGACGCUGAGGAGCGAAAGCGUGGGGAGCGAACAGGAUUAGAUACCCCCGUAGUCCCUGUCUCUUAUAC